ensembl:lncRNA
UCUCAUCCUAUCUCCCUCCCUCACACUAAUCCUGACCCCCCUAUGGAAAGUGAUCUGCACCAAUCACUAAACCGAAACACUUCCUCUGUCUCUUCUCCCUUGUCAUCAAUACUCAAUCAACAGACAAUUAUCAUCCCCCUAGUAACCACAUUUUCACAUAGAAUUAGACCCCUACAUCAAUCAAACACAACUUCUCUACAGUUCAGCACACUUACAUACCACUCAAACCAUACAGAAUCAUUUCAGCAUUUAGAAAGAACAAAAACUUAAAGGACCUCCUCACCAAAGCAAGAUUCAGUAGUAAGCCACCACAAGACCUCAAACCUCAUAAUUUCCAUUUUCGACAGAUAAAGUUCAUUACAAAUAUACACAGCCACACAUCAGCAUCAGUACAAGAAUCCUAUUCAUUGAACACACAUAACACCAUUUAUAUCAUUACAUGUACACUUUGCAAUAAACAAUACAUUGGAGAAACCAAACACACCAUAGAAACCAGACUCAAACAACACCUGUAUAACAUUAAAAGGGCACACCUACAAACGGAACUCAUAACCCACUUCCAGGAGCACCCCAUCACUCACCUUACCAUAUCAGGGUUACAGUCACAUAUAGGCUGGACCUGUGGGCAGCGAAAGAGGGUAGAACGGGAGUGGAUCCAGCACCUACAGACAAUAACGCCAAAUGGCCUGAACGAGAGGUUUUAGAAAAUGGGUUUUAACAGACAGGAAAAUGGAUGGAGAAGAACAUGGUUUUAUUCAUAUUUUAUUUUUACUCUAUAUAUUUAUGGUUUGUUUGGUGUUAGUUUGGCACUUCCUCUUUUAGGUUUUUCCUUUCCUUUAACAAAACAAUAAAACCAUUUUAAAUGCACAAUAUGGCGUUUAUGUUCAUAUUUAACAACACUAUGGUUGAAUGAAUCUCUCACCACAUUGACUUCUGCACUGCCACCCAGAAAAAGAGGCAACUUGGAGCCUACCUCAGUUUAAUUUAUGAUCCUAGGAGGACAUCUACGGGCCUUUUUAAGUACUAC